rnacentral:rRNA from 1 species
GGUUGAUCCUGCCAGUAGUCAUAUGCUUGUCUUAAAGACUAAGCCAUGCAUGUCUAAGUAUAAGUAUUAUACAGCGAAACUGCGAAUGGCUCAUUAAAACAGUUAUAGUUUAUUCGAUUAUUUUCUUCUACAUGGAUAACCGUAGUAAUUCUAGAGCUAAUACAUGCUGUCAAACCUGACUUUUUGGAAAGGUUGUAUUUAUUAGAUAUAAAACCAAUACCUUCGGGUCUUGUGAUGAUUCAUAAUAACUGAGCGGAUCGCGGCCUUGCCGCGACGA